AUUGAACGCUGGCGGUAGGCUUAACACAUGCAAGUCGUGCGAGAAAGUAUCUUCGGAUAUGAGUAGAGCGGCGGACGGGUGAGUAACGCGUAGGAAUCUACCUAGUAGAAGGGGAUAGCCCGGGGAAACCCGGAUUAAUACCGUAUACCUCCUUCGGGAGAAAGAAGGCCUCUCCUUGAAGCUUUCGCUAUUAGAUGAGCCUGCGUAAGAUUAGCUUGUUGGUGAGGUAAAGGCUCACCAAGGCGACGAUCUUUAGCUGGUCUGAGAGGACGAUCAGCCACAUUGGGACUGAGACACGGCCCAGACUCCUACGGGAGGCAGCAGUGGGGAAUAUUGGACAAUGGGCGCAAGCCUGAUCCAGCCAUACCGCGUGUGUGAAGAAGGCCUUCGGGUUGUAAAGCACUUUAAGCAGGGAGAAAAAGUUAUAAGUUAAUACCUUAUAACCCUGAUGUUACCUGCAGAAUAAGCACCGGCUAAUUCCGUGCCAGCAGCCGCGGUAAUACGGAAGGUGCAAGCGUUAAUCGGAAUUACUGGGCGUAAAGCGCGCGUAGGUGGUUUGUUAAGUUGGAUGUGAAAGCCCUGGGCUCAACCUAGGAACUGCAUCCAAAACUAACUCACUAGAGUACGAUAGAGGGAGGUAGAAUUCAUAGUGUAGCGGUGGAAUGCGUAGAUAUUAUGAAGAAUACCAGUGGCGAAGGCGGCCUCCUGGAUCUGUACUGACACUGAGGUGCGAAAGCGUGGGUAGCGAACAGGAUUAGAUACCCUGGUAGUCCACGCCGUAAACGAUGACAACUAGCUGUUGGGAGACUAUGUCUUUCAGUGGCACAGCUAACGCUUUAAGUUGUCCGCCUGGGGAGUACGGCCGCAAGGCUAAAACUCAAAUGAAUUGACGGGGACCCGCACAAGCGGUGGAGCAUGUGGUUUAAUUCGAUGCAACGCGAAAAACCUUACCUACUCUUGACAUACUUGGAGGCUCUUGUAAUGAGAGUGUGCCUUUUGGAACCAAGAUACAGGUGCUGCAUGGCUGUCGUCAGCUCGUGUCGUGAGAUGUUCCGUUAAGUCGGAUAACGAGCGCAACCCUUACCCUUAUUUGCCAGCGAUUCGGUCGGGAACUAUAAGGGGACUGCCGGUGAUAAACCGGAGGAAGGUGAGGACGACGUCAAGUCAUCAUGGCCCUUACGAGUAGGGCUACACACGUGCUACAAUGGGAGAUACAGACGGACGCUAAGCCGCGAGGUGGUGCUAAUCCUAAAAAGUCUUUCGUAGUCCGGAUUGGAGUCUGCAACUCGACUCCAUGAAGUCGGAAUCGCUAGUAAUCGCGGAUCAGCAUGCCGCGGUGAAAUACGUUCUCGGGUCU
rnacentral:rRNA from 1 species